rfam:Bifidobacterium breve DSM 20213 genomic scaffold Scfld1, whole genome shotgun sequence.
UGAGACCUCUUGAUGGCCGCGGCCGUGAUCUUCAUUGGGAUCGGCUGAGGAACUUCCGGGCUCCAUAGAGCACGAUGGCGGAUAACGUCCGCCCAGGGUGACCUGAGAGAUAGCGCAGCAGAGAAUAGACCGCCCGUCCUCGACGGGUAAGGGUGAAACGGCGGUGUAAGAGACCACCGGGCCUCUGGUAACAGCAGGCCGCAUGGCAAGCCUCAUCGGGAGCAAGGCCAAGCAGAUGGCGGUAAGGGCUGCUCGCCCAUGUCAUCGGGUAGGCUGCUAGAGCCUGACGGCAACGUCAGGUCGAGAUGGAUGGCCAUCCGUGCCGCGCGUUCGCGUACGGCAUGACAGAACCCGGGGUAUAAGAGGUCUCAUUUA